UAUCACUAAGGUCCAGUGUCCAGUUCCCUCCCAUGUGUUUGAUGUUGUGUUGUGGUUUUGUCCUGUUGUGACACUUGUGUCUGGUUGAAUGAGGAUAGAAGAAUGGACGGACAACAAAUUAGCAUGGACGAGGCCAGUAGUUCCGAUCAGGAACAGAGCCCUCAACUUCAGUUUGCUCGCCCUUCUAAAAAACGUUCACAUUCGCUCGAAUCCGAGAGACCAGGAAUAAUAUAUCUCAGCGCCGUGCCCGAAUUCAUGACUGUUCAGAGGUUGAGAAACACAUUCGAAGAAUUUGGGGAAAUAAAUAGGACCUUUUUUCAACCUGUUGAGAAGAGCUACUCAUACAAGAAAGGCCUUUUGUUUAGUGAGGGCUGGGUGGAAUUCCGACAGAGGAAAGUGGCCAAGUAUGUCGCCGUGGCUCUCAACAACACUCAAGUUGGUGGCAAGAAAAGAAAUCCGUGGUACAACUGUAUCUGGAACAUAAAAUACUUGCCUAAAUUUACCUGGACAGAUGUGAAUGCUGAUAGAGAGCUGAAGAGAGCGACGUACGACAGUAGGAUCCGUGCUGACAUUUCUCAGGUCAAAAAACAAACAAACUAUUAUGUGAGUAACAUUGAGAAAAGUAAAACUUUGCAAGAAAUGAAGAAGAGGAAGGAGAAAAAAGGUGAGGUUUUUGAAAAAAGAACAUUUGGUGAUGGUGCACAGCAGAAAUUGACAGAUGAGGAAAUUCUGGCAAAUAAGAAAGGCAAGAAAAGGAAAAGCAGUGAUGAGUCCAGUGAAAAGAAAGCAAAACUGCAGAGAAAGACAUUCACAGGUGCUAAUGAGGAUGCGAGCCGAUCCUUUGUAAUGAAAAACAUUUUUGGCUCCUCAAGUUGAUGUUCUUUGUGGUGAUGGAUUGUGCUACAAGUGGCUCUUGAGAUUGAAGUGAUUCCAGAUAGUAGGGCGUUACCAACGACUAUGUAUAACACCUCAAACAUGAGUGAAAGUCGCAGUUGAAAAGGUUUCGUUCAAAAAUAAAACUUUGAAAUACCAUA
rnacentral:misc_RNA from 1 species